CCGCCCAUAGCUCAAUGGAUAGAGUGUCAGAUUCCGGUUCUGAAGGUUGCAGGUUCGAGUCCUGCUGGGCGGGCCA
rnacentral:tRNA from 1 species